GGCUCAGUGGUGAAGUGGCUAACACGACGGUCUGCAAAACCGUUAUUCGCCGGUUCAAUUCCGGCCUGGGCCU
rnacentral:tRNA from 1 species